UACGAAGGGGGCUAGCGUUGUUCGGAAUCCCUGGGCGUAAAGCGCUUGUAGGCGGAUCGUUAAGUCAGGGGUGAAAUCCCGAGGCUCAACCUCGGAACUGCCUCUGAUACUGGCGAUCUUUGAGUCCGGGAGAGGCGAGUGGAACUCCUGGUGUAGCGGUGGAAUGCGCAGAUAUCAGGAAGAACACCAACGGCGAAGGCAGCUCGCUGGGACGGUACUGACGCUGAGACGCGAAAGCGUGGGGAGCGAACAGG
rnacentral:rRNA from 1 species